CAGAUGCUGCGGGGCUCGUCAGGGACAAUAUGACCCGGGGGCCUAUAAGAUCCGCACGGGCGCUGUCCCUGACCGGAGCCGUGGCUCCGGAUACAUGGUGCCCACCUACGCUCGUAGGGACCACGCGGGAUCAUCGUCUCAACGGCCUUCGCGGCAUUAUU
rfam:Hyphomicrobium sp. MC1 chromosome, complete genome.